ACCUCUGCCUGAGCUGCUGAGAGGGUUUCUGAGGUAGUGUGGAGAUGGAGGGAGGGCUCUUCUCUUCUUUCAGACGGGAGUGACCUUUGAGGAGGUGGCCGCCGUGCAUUUCUCCACAGAGGUGUGGGGCCUGCUGACUCCAAACCAAAGAGCCUUAUACAAGGAGGUCAUGCUGGAGAACCAUGGGAACAUGGCCUCACUGGAGCUCUGGGAGCUACCAGCACAGGAAAGAAGCUUCGGGUGCCAGAAAAUGGUGGUUUUGCAGUGGAGCAAGUUGCAAUAAGGCAGCUUGUACAAAGAUUAACACCUACAGAAUAAGUCCCUAAACCUGACCUCACCUCUCAGCUGAAGCAAGGAAAAGAACUAUGGGUGCCAGACGGUCUGGUUUUGGAUGAAGUGGCAAUCUUGGAGUGUGACCCCAAUUCAGCAUUCUGGGAAGUGUAGUCAUUAACAGAGUCUACAGAAAAUCUCAAGGAACAAACUUGCCAAUAUACAAACGCGGGUAACAACUGCAGUGACAAGGAAAUAAGGAGCACGCAAGCAAAAAGGGAACUGGUAAGCGAGAUCUGUAGAGGGCGUGGGAGAUGAAAAGGGACAGGUUUUGUUUUUCUUUAGUCUUACAGUUGUGCCAGGAAUUUAGUGACGAGAUCUGUCUCUUUUAUGUUGCUUCUGGCGCUUAUUUUGAAAUCUCUGCUGCUUUUCCUGAGUUUUGCCUCCCCUACGACUGCAGUCUUCGUCUCCCUUCAUCGAAAAAGCCCUUUGCACUCACCUGAUUCUCCAAAAGAUUCCUCCAGCUGCAGGCAACCCGCGUGGGAAAUUCAAACGCGACUUUCCCACGGUAGGCGGAGCCGGAAGUGACCUACUGCGCGACUAACCAGCAUUCCUACCUACCAUUCAGCCCAUCUAGGAAUCCUCCUCCUUCAGCUUUAACUCUUACUUUUAUCUAGAGUUAUGAAGUCCAGGCUUGGAAACAAUGCGGACCCAGAAGCAGAAUGUCAAAUCUUAUGUAACCUUUCAAAGUUCAGUGGAACUUUUCUUUUGUCGUUUUGUGUGACUGUUUACUGGUUGAGCUGUAGUUUUUCAAAUCUGCUUUUAAAACAAAAUAACAAAAUUUAAGUUACGGCGGAUUUCAUGUUCUGUUGUUUUGUUCUGUUUGAAUUUUCAAACAGUGCUGAGAAAGGAUUGGCGAAAAAACGUGAAAAGGCAUAAUAUAAUCAGUGUUUUAAAUAAGCAUAUAAAGUAAUAUUAUUCUUGUUUCGCUCGCUUUGUGGUUGACAAGAAUGCUAAUGCCCAAUACAAAUGACAUUUUUCGCCCUCCCUUUCCCACCUUAACAUAUCGCACGAUGCAGACCCCUGGUCCCUCUAGAUCAGGAUUGUCAACACUGACUGGCAGUGACUCAAACAAGGUCUUCCCUAGUCAUGCCUUGAGAUGCCAGGGAUUGAACCUGAGACUUUAUGCAGGCAAAGCAGGAGCUCUACCACUGUUCCAGGAACUGACUAUAUAUAUAGGUAAAGUU